AUGGCUUCGGAGCGGGCCGGGCCGGACACGGUGCUGGUCGCUUCGGUCGGGGAGCCGGGCGUGGGGGCGGCGGUGGCGGCCGCAACAUGGUAUGGACGCGCGACAUCGAGGAGGGCGGCCAGGUCUCCACCAACAUGGAGCAGGGCGCGCGGGCGACAGAUCGUGCAAGGUGGGAGGCGGCGGCCAUGGAGACGCAGAGCGACGACCGCCGGACUGAGAGAUGAGGGGACAACAACCAAGGAAAGGCGGCCACGGGAGAUCCAGGACCGCGCGACCCUCGUCCCCAACAAGAUGCACGUCUGCAACAAAAUUGUCGUCAAGCAACUCCAGGAAGAAGGAAUGCUUCCCCACUAG
rnacentral:rRNA from 1 species